rnacentral:rRNA from 1 species
GAUGAACGCUGGCGGCGUGCCUAAUACAUGCAAGUCGAACGGAGAUUGUAGCAAUACGGUCUUAGUGGCGAACGGGCGAGUAACGCGUUGAUGACCUGCCCCGAAGUGUGGGAUACCAGUUCGAAAGGAUUGCUAAUACCGCAUGUGAUCAUUGGGUCUAGAAGCCGAUGAUUAAAGGAGAAAUUCGCUUCGGGAGGGAUCUGCGUCCCAUCAGCUAGUUGGUAGGGUAAUGGCCUACCAAGGCGACGACGGGUAGGGGACCUGAGAGGGUGGCCCCCCACACUGGCACUGAAACACGGGCCAGACACCUACGGGAGGCUG